UACGGGGGGGGCAAGCGUUGUCCGGAAUUACUGGGCGUAAAGGGCGCGUAGGCGGCCUACUAAGUCAGACGUGAAAUCCCUCGGCUUAACCGGGGAACUGCGUCUGAUACUGGAUGGCUUGAGUGUGGGAGAGGGAUGCGGAAUUCCAGGUGUAGCGGUGAAAUGCGUAGAUAUCUGGAGGAACACCGGUGGCGAAGGCGACAUCCUGGACCGGUAUUGACGCUGAGUGAGCGAAAGCCAGGGGAGCAAACGGG
rnacentral:rRNA from 1 species